rnacentral:rRNA from 1 species
ACGCUGGCGGCAGGCCUAACACAUGCAAGUCGAGCGGUAGAGAGAAGCUUGCUUCUCUCGAGAGCGGCGGACGGGUGAGUAAUGCCUAGGAAUCUGCCUGGUAGUGGGGGAUAACGUUCGGAAACGGACGCUAAUACCGCAUACGUCCUACGGGAGAAAGCAGGGGACCUUCGGGCCUUGCGCUAUCAGAUGAGCCUAGGUCGGAUUAGCUAGUUGGUGGGGUAAUGGCUCACCAAGGCGACGAUCCGUAACUGGUCUGAGAGGAUGAUCAGUCACACUGGAACUGAGACACGGUCCAGACUCCUACGGGAGGCAGCAGUGGGGAAUAUUGGACAAUGGGCGAAAGCCUGAUCCAGCCAUGCCGCGUGUGUGAAGAAGGUCUUCGGAUUGUAAAGCACUUUAAGUUGGGAGGAAGGGUUGUAGAUUAAUACUCUGCAAUUUUGACGUUACCGACAGAAUAAGCACCGGCUAACUCUGUGCCAGCAGCCGCGGUAAUACGGAGGGUGCAAGCGUUAAUCGGAAUUACUGGGCGUAAAGCGCGCGUAGGUGGUUAGUUAAGUUGGAUGUGAAAUCCCCGGGCUCAACCUGGGAACUGCAUUCAAAACUGACUGACUAGAGUAUGGUAGAGGGUGGUGGAAUUUCCUGUGUAGCGGUGAAAUGCGUAGAUAUAGGAAGGAACACCAGUGGCGAAGGCGACCACCUGGACUGAUACUGACACUGAGGUGCGAAAGCGUGGGGAGCAAAC